GGCCCCUCCAAGCGCCGCUGGGGCCGGUGCCGGUGCGCGGGGGCGGCCGGAGGGCGUGGGAAGAAAGUUUGCGGCGGCGGCGGGACGCGGCCCCUCGGGGUCUCUUCGGUGCCAAACGCGGGGACGUCUGCGGGUGAGCUGCCGGCGCCUCCCCUCCGCCGACCGCUUCACGGCCCCGGCAUCGGGUUCUUAUAGGAGAGCCGGCGCAUCCUUCUGGCUCGGAAGAGUUCAAGAGCGCUGCUUGUGUCUUCUGUAGUCGCCCGCACAGGAGCCCGGCUGCUCAGGUAUGUUUUUGGGGCUGGGUGAAGCAGCAGCAUGCAGCAGACAAGAGCUCCAACACUCACUGCCUGCUUCCUCAAGUCCCAACGAUCCCUCUUCCUGUUUUUCAUGUUUGCUGUGAGCAGAUAUAAACCAGCUUUUUGGCUCAGACCUAUUCCUCUGAAGACACAUGCUUCCUGCACAAAACACUGCAGGCCCAGCCCAGGUGCUGAGGUUGUUGGCCUUGCUCCUCCAUCAGACUUUGGGGAGCUGCUUGUACAGUGAAGUAUUCAGUUGUGCCUGCAGUUUCCAGAGGAGCACGCAGCUGAGGAAGAGAAAGACCUGUGAGGAAGACAAGCUGAGGGAAGUCCAAGUGUUCAGGAAAAGAGACUGUGGGCCUGGAACAUCCUUAUGGUCUCCUCAGAGAGAAGGCCACCUGGGAGGACUUGCAGAGGACGAUCCUGACUGUGGUGUGAAGAGGUGGCAGUGAGCUGGCACCUUUUGAUAUUGAGAUUCUCACUCUUAAGCCAUUUAAUUAAGAUAUUUUCCUGAGCUCCCAUGACUUCUGGUUGCCUGCUGUGAGAAGCUGGUACCAACCAGCUCACUUAAGCUGAUGAAAAAGUCUGAGUUAGAGGAACCUGCUGACCUCUCAGAAGCAACCACUACCUCCAGAACUCUAAUCAGCUGGUUCCAGGUGGAAUAGGUCCAUGCACUGGAACCAGUUUUUGGAGAAGUUCUAGAUGCGCUUCCACACAGAAAUUCAUGAAGCUCAUACCUUCUGGAAAUUCUCUAAUCUUGGCCUUCAUGGAAGUUUCUAGAACUGAUCAGAUAACACAGAGUCUAGGAAUAAGUACUGCCUAUUUUAUCUCACCUUUAACUUCAUGGUUGCUGGAGAAGUGAAGGUUUCCGAAGGGUAAUAGAAAGAGAUCCUAGAAUC